AAAUGUAAUGGAUAUAAAGCUUAUGUUUAUAUAUAUAGACAUAUAUAAGUAUAUAAAGAGACUACUACCAAUAGCUACACUAUGUAUUAAGGAGAGUAUAACUUAAUUUAUGUUUAUGAUUUUAUCAUACCCCUAAAAAUGACACCGAGGAGCAAGGGUCGGGUUAGCAUCCUGGUUCGUACACCUUGGUGACCUAGGCUAGUACCAGGUCCCCCUCUAAGGGACUUGUCCCCCUCUAAGGGACUUGCGUCGGUCCUAUCCUAGGCCGAAUAGGUGAAUAAAUACUUACGGACGGCCUUGGUCUGUCCUAGAGGUUAUCAACAUAUGAACUCUUAGAGAAAUUACUUAAUAAACGAAGUGAAUUGAAAUAUCUUAUUAACUUCAGGAAAAGAAAUCAAACGAGAUUCUAUGAUUAGUGUGAACGAAAAUAGAGCAGCCUAUUAAAAUAAGUAAAAUGGCUUUAAAGCUGUUUGAAUAUUGUGGGGAACCUUCCUCAAAGGCUAAAUAUAAUACAUGAGUUACAGAGAAAAGUACCGUGAGGGAAAGCUUUGAAAUAGUAGUUUUAUAAGCAGCUCAAGCAAUAAGAAAGCGAGAGCGUACCUUUUGCAUAAUGGGUCACCAAGUUAAUUUUAGAUGCGAGCGAAUUUAUUUAUGUUUUUACUGAUUAAACAAUAUAAUGAAUCAUAAUUAUUUUUGUAACGAGUAUUAGUAUUAAAUCUUAAUUUAAUAUUAGUAUAAGUUUUCAGUAUGGCGGCUACAUAGCAUAAUCUAUGCAGCCAGCCAAUAAUUGGAUUUCCAAUCCAAUUUCGGUAAUAAAUAGAUGUGCAUAGUUAAACCGAUCAUUAAAAUAAUGAAUAGUGUCUAAAGUUAGACCCGAAGCCUGGUGAUCUUACUAUAGUCAGGACUAUAAAGGUCCGAACGGGUUAUCGUUGCAAAGAUAUCCGAAGAACUAUGGUAAGCGAGUGAAAGACAACACUGACUAGGAUAGCUGGUUUUCUGCGAAACCUAUAAUAGUAGGCAAUUUAAGUAACAUCUUAGUAGGUACAGAACUUAAUCUCAGACAAGAUGUAGAUUUUCAUACCUAUGUUUAGGUAUGAAAUGCAUUUUUUUUUGUAUACAUCGGGGGAUCGUGAAGAUUUUAUCGGUGAGUAUGUAGACUCGGAAUGACAAAGAUGAAUCUUGAAUAAUCAGACAUAGAAUGAUAAGGUUGUAUGUCAAAAGGGAAACAGCCCAGAACAAGAGUUAAGGUUCCAAAAUUAUUAUUAAGUGAAAUAAAGAAAGUUUUUAUAUAAGUCGACAAGAAGAUGGGCUUGGAAGCAGCCAUAAUUUAAAGAUCUCGUAACAGAGCACUUGUUAAAUCUUAAAAGCAUCGAAAAUUUAACGGAUCUAAAUAAUAUACCGAAACCUUGUCCAUAUGUAACAUUAGUAAUAAUAUGCUAUUAAUGUUAUUUGAUGGGGUAGCAGAACGUUGAGUGAAUCUUAGAUUUUUUUUUUAUAACUAAAUAUAGAUGAUAACUCAAGUGAGAAUGGUGACAUGAGUAACAAAAAAGAGUUUAAGGUACCUAAAAGGUAUCUUAGAGUCUCGCCUAAAGCUUAUGGCUACGUCAAGUAACGGCCUCUAAGUUUAUAAUCUGAAGAUUAUGACGAUGAGAAAAUAACGCGCAGAAGUGCGCUGCUUUGAUACUUAUGGUACCAACAUUUAAAAGUGAAAAUUGUGCAGGAAGGAUCAGUAUCCUUUCAUUCUUAUGUGGGGGAGUGGACAAAACUGAACAGAGUGUAUCUGAACACAGAUGAGUCCACACCCCCCCCCAUGUAAUGAAUGAAUGACAAACCGUACCUAGAAUCUGAAACAAGUAAGCUAGUAGAGAAUACGAAGGCGUGAAUGAGAUAACAAUCAUAAAGGAACUCGGCAAACUAACUACCGUAACUUAGGGAUAAGGAGAGCUCAUUAGUCUCGAUUAAUACGAGUAAAAAGGAAGAAGCAUGGAAUAUUGUUGUACGACUGUUUAAUUAAAACAAAGCACUUUGCAAAAAGACGAUAAGUCUAAGUAUUGAGUGUGAUUUCUGCCCGAUGCCGGCUGGUUAACGAAUUUUCUAAAUUGAAAAAAAAUUUGGUUUCAGAGGAACCCCCGGUUAAUGGCGGCCUUAGCGUGAGGGUCCUAAGGUAGCGAAAUGCCUUGGCCGUUAAAUGCGGUCUUGCAUGAAUGAUGUAACGAUACAACAGCUGUCUCUAUGAUUGACUCAGUGAAAUUGGAAUAACUGUGCAGAUACAGUUUACCUCUAGUUAGACGAGAAGACCCUAUGCAGCUUUACUGUUACUAAUUAUUGAAUACGAUUCUGAAAAUUUCCAGUGUAAAAGGUAAUCGAUAAGAUAUAAUUGAAACACCUUUAUUUUUCUAUCGUAUUAUUAAACCUUAAAUUAAGGAACAAUUGUUAGAAGACAGUUUAUGCGGGGCACAGGCCCCAUAAAGAGUAAAUGGGUGUGUCUAAAAUUUAUAAAUUUAUGUUUGCAAUUUUUUAUAGUGAUUAUAUAUCAAAUCAUCUUUAUGCUAUUCAUAGAGUGUAUUUAUUAUAUUCCUUGGGUACAGUAUAAAAAUUAUAUAUGUAUUAAUUUACAUAUAUUUUUUCUAAGAAAUUAGGUAAGAUUUUGUUUAUAGAGAAAUUAGAUGUAAAAAAAAAAUCUUAUGAGGGCGGUAUUUAAUAAUCCGCUUCUAAUAUUUUUUUGUAGUUAUUAUUAUAAAUUUAAUAAUAAUCAUGUUUAUUACUUAAAAAGCUUAAUGGCUUAAUCUUGCCUUACUGUUUGAUUAACAACAAAUCUUACAGUCGCGUAAGCGGGGCAUAGGAUCACAAGAUACAAAAAGGAAAGAUCUUGGAUUUUUGGAAAAGCUACGCUAGGGAUGAACAGGCUAAUUUGCGCAAGAGUGUACAAAAUGAGUGCGCGGUUUGGCACCUCGAUGUCGGCUUGACUAAUCCUCAUGGAUGCAGAAACUAUGUAGGGUACGACUGUUCGUCGAUUAAAAAGUUACAUGAGCUGGGUUAAAUACGUCGUGAGACAGUAUGGUUUCUAUCUUCUAGAGGGAAUUAGAAUAUAAUAAGGAUUAACCUUUGUACGAAAGGAACAUGGGGUACUAUUGUUAUACCUAGUUGUAUAACAGUUUUAUUAACCUCUGGUUUACCUGUUGUUUAUGUGCCUUAUAUUAAUUUCAUGUGUGAUGCUCCGCAAGGAUAUUACAGGGAUGUUACCGUCACUUGAGUAAAUACAAUAGCAUAAGCAUGGCAGGAAAGCUAAGUUAGUCAAAAAUAAGUGCUGAAAGCAUAUAGGCACGAAAUUUACCUUAAGAUAUUUCUUAAAUAUACGUAAGAAAAUAUUACGUUAAUAGGCUUAGUUUGUAAUAAUCUAGAGAUUUUAAGGAACUAAGUACUAAUUUUAUAAAAAACUGAAUGAUUAAUAUAUCUUACAUUUUC
rnacentral:rRNA from 1 species